AAUCACAGUCAUAUCACCCUGCAGCCCAAGACCGGUUACUCACUGAAUUCUAAGCAGGGCUGAGUCUGGUCAGUACCUGGAUAGGAGACCACAUGCGAAAACUAGGUUGCUGUUGGAA
rfam:Danio rerio chromosome 18, GRCz11 reference primary assembly.